AUGCACGCUGGCGGCGUGCCUAAUACCUGCAAGUCGCGCGAACAGAUAAGGAGCUUGCUCCUUUGACGUUAGCGGCGGACGGGUGAGUAACACGUGGGUAACCUACCUAUAAGACUGGGAUAACUUCGGGAAACCGGAGCUAAUACCGGAUAAUAUUUCGAACCGCAUGGUUCGAUAGUGAAAGAUGGUUUUGCUAUCACUUAUAGAUGGACCCGCGCCGUAUUAGCUAGUUGGUAAGGUAACGGCUUACCAAGGCGACGAUACGUAGCCGACCUGAGAGGGUGAUCGGCCACACUGGAACUGAGACACGGUCCAGACUCCUACGGGAGGCAGCAGUAGGGAAUCUUCCGCAAAGGGCGAAAGCCUGACGGAGCAACGCCGCGUGAGUGAUGAAGGUCUUCGGAUCGUAAAACUCUGUUAUUAGGGAAGAACAUACGUGUAAGUAACUGUGCACGUCUUGACGGUACCUAAUCAGAAAGCCACGGCUAACUACGUG
rnacentral:rRNA from 1 species